CAGGUGGGACCAUCCAGUUUCAGGAAAACAAGCUUAACACGCCCACUGAUUCUACAUUAUGCUCCUACCUCCCGGCAGCCUCGCCAGGCCCAGAACUCUCUCCAGUCAGCCUCUACAGACCAAGCUCAUGACUCACAAUGGCCUAUUGAGGCCCAUACCCUACCUCACGGCAGUCUCCGCAGAUGAGCCUACUGCCUCACAACAGCCUCCACAGGCACAGCUCCAUCGUUACAAUGGCCUCUUUAGACCCAGCUCCUGCCUCCCAGCCUUCUCUCCAGGCCCUGAACUUUCUCCGUGGGACCAUCCAGUUUCAGGAAAACAAGCUUAACACGCCCACUGAUUCUACAUUAUGAUUCUUCAGGCCCAGCAUCUGCCUCACUGUGGACCCCCCAAGCCAAGCUCCCAACCUUUCAGCAGCUUCUACACACCCAGCUCCCGCCUGCCAGUGGCCUCUUCAGGCCCAUGGGGCUCAUUCCUCACAACAGCCUUUCCAGUCCCAGUUUUUCCCUUCCGGCGGCCUCUCCGGGCUGAGAACCUCCUCAAGUCGGCCUCUCCAGACCCACUUGCACCCUCCAGGCGUCCUCUCCGGGCCAAGCUCCUCUUCCUGGCUGUGUCUCCAGGCCCGACUCCUGCCUCUCAACAACGUCUUUGGACUCAGUGCCUACCCAUCUCCUGGCGUCCUUGGUCGGCCCACAGCUUCCUCAAGCCAAGCUCCCCAGGCCCAGGUCAGGCCUCACGGUGCCCCCUCCACGAUGAGCUCCUGCCCUCCAAUGGCACCUGCAGGCCCCAAAUGGUCUCCGGUCGGUGGGCUCCUCCACGCCAAGCUUGGGCCUCCCGGUGACCUCUGCAGGCCCAAGUUGUCCUGAAGUCAGCAUCUCCCAGCCGUGCCUCCCAGCAAGUAAGCAAGCUCUUUUGGCUCAACUCCUGCCCAGCUCCCAGCCGCCUUUGUAGGUCCCGAACUUUCUCCAGCCACGUUCUUUGGGCCUCAUUCCUGCCGCCCGGUGGCCUGUACGGGCCCAGCAAUGGUUGGAGAACGGCCUCUGCAGGUCCCGCUCUUGCCUCCCAGGGGCCUCUCCAGGCCCAGCUCUCGCCCCCACGGCGGCCACCCGGGGCCAAGUCCCUGCCUGCCUCCCAGCAGCCCGCA